GACGAACGCUGGCGGCGUGCUUAACACAUGCAAGUCGAACGGUGAAGCGCCUUCCUUUUUGGUGGGUGUGGAUGAGUGGCGAACGAGUGAGUAACACGUGAGUAACCUGCCCCCUUCUUCUGGAUAACCGCAUGAAAGUGUGGCUAAUACGGGAUAUUCUGGGUCUGUCGCAUGAUGGGUCUGGGAAAGAUAUUGUUUCGGUGGGGGAUGGGCUCGCGGCCUAUCAGCUUGUUGGUGGGGUGAUGGCCUACCAAGGCGGUGACGGGUAGCCGGCCUGAGAGGGUGGACGGUCACACUGGGACUGAGACACGGCCCAGACUCCUACGGGAGGCAGCAGUGGGGAAUAUUGCACAAUGGGCGCAAGCCUGAUGCAGCGACGCCGCGUGAGGGAUGGAGGCCUUCGGGCUGUGAACCUCUUUCGCCAGUGAAGCAGGCCUGCCUCGUUUGUGGGUGGGUUGACGGUAGCUGGAUAAGAAGCGCCGGCUAACUACGUG
rnacentral:rRNA from 1 species